AUUGAACGCUGGCGGCAUGCCUUACACAUGCAAGUCGAACGGCAGCGCGGACUUCGGUCUGGCGGCGAGUGGCGAACGGGUGAGUAAUACAUCGGAACGUACCCUGUUGUGGGGGAUAACUAGACGAAAGAUUAGCUAAUACCGCAUACGACCUGAGGGUGAAAGUGGGGGACCGGAAACGGCCUCAUGCAGCAGGAGCGGCCCAUGUCUGAUUAGCUAGUUGGUGGGGUAAAGGCCUACCAAGGCGACGAUCAGUAGCUGGUCUGAGAGGACGAUCAGCCACACUGGGACUGAGACACGGCCCAGACUCCUACGGGAGGCAGCAGUGGGGAAUUUUGGACAAUGGGCGCAAGCCUGAUCGAGCAAUGCCGCGUGUGUGAAGAAGGCCUUCGGGUUGUAAAGCACUUUUGUCAGGAAAGAAAACGCGCUGGUUAAUACCUGGCGUGGAUGACGGUACCGGAAGAAUAAGCACCGGCUAACUACGUG
rnacentral:rRNA from 1 species